UACGUAGGGGGCAAGCGUUGUCCGGAUUUAUUGGGCGUAAAGAGCGUGUAGGCGGCCUUACAGGUCAGCUGUGAAAACUCGAGGCUCAACCUCGAGACGUCGGUUGAAACCGUAAGGCUAGAGUCCGGAAGAGGAGAGUGGAAUUCCCGGUGUAGCGGUGAAAUGCGCAGAUAUCGGGAAGAACACCCGUGGCGAAGGCGGCUCUCUGGGACGGUACUGACGCGUGAGA
rnacentral:rRNA from 1 species